AACGUAGGACACAAGCGUUAUCCGGAAUUACUGGGCGUAAAGCGCGUGUAGGCGGCCCUGCAAGUCGGAUGUGAAAUCCCACGGCUCAACCGUGGAAGUGCAUUCGAAAACUGCAGGGCUAGAGUCCUGGAGAGGAAGGUGGAAUGCUUGGUGUAGAGGUGAAAUUCGUAGAUAUCAAGCGGAACACCGGUGGCGAAGGCGGCCUCUGGACAGUGACUGACGCUGAGAGC
rnacentral:rRNA from 1 species